CCUACGGGAGGCAGCAGUGGGGAAUAUUGGACAAUGGGCGCAAGCCUGAUCCAGCCAUGCCGCGUGUGUGAAGAAGGCCUUCGGGUUGUAAAGCACUUUUAUCCGGAAAGAAAAGCUUUGGGUUAAUACCCUGAAGUCAUGACGGUACCGGAAGAAUAAGCACCGGCUAACUUCGUGCCAGCAGCCGCGGUAAUACGAAGGGUGCAAGCGUUACUCGGAAUUACUGGGCGUAAAGCGUGCGUAGGUGGUUUGUUAAGUCUGAUGUGAAAGCCCUAGGCUCAACCUGGGAAUUGCAUUGGAUACUGGCAGGCUAGAGUGCGGUAGAGGAUAGUGGAAUUCCCGGUGUAGCAGUGAAAUGCGUAGAGAUCGGGAGGAACAUCUGUGGCGAAGGCGACUAUCUGGGCCAGCACUGACACUGAGGCACGAAAGCGUGGGGAGCAAACAGGAUUAGAUACCCUGGUAGUCCACGCCCUAAACGAUGCGAACUGGAUGUUGGGUGCAACUAGGCACUCAGUAUCGAAGCUAACGCGUUAAAGUUCGCCGUCCUGGGGAGUUACGGGUUCGCGAAGACUGAAACCUUAAGNGAAUUGACGG
rnacentral:rRNA from 1 species